GCCAUAGCCAUAUCACCCUGCAGCCCAAGACUGGUUGCCCACUGAAGCUAAGCAGGGUUGAGCCUGGUCAGUACCUGGAUGGGAGACCUCCUGGGAAAACUAGGUUGCUGCUGGAA
rnacentral:rRNA from 1 species